GACGUAGGGCGCGAGCGUUGUCCGGAUUUAUUGGGCGUAAAGAGCUCGUAGGCGGCUCGUUGCGUCGGCUGUGAAAACCCGCAGCUCAACUGUGGGCUUGCAGCCGAUACGGGCGGGCUUGAGUUCGGUAGGGGAGACUGGAAUUCCUGGUGUAGCGGUGAAAUGCGCAGAUAUCAGGAGGAACACCGGUGGCGAAGGCGGGUCUCUGGGCCGAAACUGACGCUGAGGAGCGAAAGCGUGGGGAGCGAACAGG
rnacentral:rRNA from 1 species